rnacentral:rRNA from 1 species
GACAGAGGGUGCAAACGUUGUUCGGAAUUACUGGGCGUAAAGCGAGUGUAGGCGGUUUGGUAAGUCGGAUGUGAAAGCCCCGGGCUCAACCCGGGAAGUGCACUCGAUACUGCCAAGCUAGAGUAUCGGAGAGGUUGGUGGAAUUCCCGGUGUAGAGGUGAAAUUCGUAGAUAUCGGGAGGAACACCGAUGGCGAAGGCGGCGACCUGGGUAGAUACUGACGCUGAGGCACGAAAGCGUGGGGAGCAAACAGG